CCUACGGGUGGCUGCAGUGGGGGAUAUUGCACAAUGGGGGAAACCCUGAUGCAGCGACGCCGCGUGGGUGAAGAAGCGCCUCGGCGCGUAAAGCCCUGUCGGCAGGGAAGAAAAUUACGGUACCUGAAGACGACGCCCCGGCUACCUACGUCCCAGCCGCCGCGGUCAUACGUAGGAGGCAAGCUUUAUCCGGAUUUACUGGGUGUAACGGGGGCGCAGACGGCGAUGCAGGCCAGGAGUGAACGCCCGGGGCCCAACCCCGGGACUGCGCUUGGAACUGCGUGGCUAGAGUGCAGGAGGGGCAGGCGGAAUUCCUGGUGUAGCGGUGAAAUGCGUAGAUAUCAGGAGGAACACCGGUGGCGAAGGCGGCCUGCUGGACUGCAACUGACGUUGAGGCCCGAAAGCGUGGGGAGCAAACAGGAUUAGAUACCCGAGUAGUC
rnacentral:rRNA from 1 species